rnacentral:lncRNA from 1 species
GGUGUCAUUCUUUCGCGCUGCACACACCUUCCUCCACGUGGUGAAGAUACAUCGCUCCUGACAGCCUCAUGCCUGACUGGACACUGAAAAAGAGGUGAAGAGAUAAGAGGCGAUAGAACAAAAGAACAGAAAGAUAAUGAAGCUGAGACUAAGUAAGUGAAAGCAUAAUUAUGUAUGCAGCCACAAGUGGCGCACAAAGCAAUUACUGCUUGUGGGAAUUUGAGAGAUGCUCUUUGAGGAGGUGUGAGGGAAUCAGUAAUACUUGCAGUGACUUUUGAGGAGGUGGAGUGUGCUGAUGAAGAUGCCACAAAGAACUGAUGGGAAGUUAUUCCUCUCCCCAACUGCUAUUGUAUCCUUCCUGUAGUGCUGUCUCUGCUUUUUGCAUCUUGCCCAGUAUAUUAUGACACAAAUAAAAAUUCUCUUUUCAUCAUCUUGCAA